AGGGGUAUAGCUCAGGUGGUAGCAUGCAUACUUAGCAUGUAUGAGGUCCUGGGUUCAAUCCCCAGUACCUUGA
rnacentral:tRNA from 1 species